ensembl:scaRNA
GUGGUGGUCCAUAUGGUUGUGGCACUGAGCAGUGUGCAACAGCCGGCACGGCUCCACGCAGAGCGAGGCUGGUUCCUGCCGACAGGGCCUGUAAAGGUGUUGGUUCCCCUGUGCGAUGGUUCCACACAUU